GAGGUUAUAGCUCAGUGGCAGAGUGCCUGUCUAGCAUACACUAGGUCCUGGGUUCAAUCUCCAGCACCUCCA
rnacentral:tRNA from 1 species